GCUUGAUCCCUGCCGAGUGAAAGAGAUCUUUGGUUUUGCCUUUGCUGACUGCUGAUCUGAUCGUCUCAAGUCUGGUAAGUAAAGGUUUGUCUGAGGUGCAGUGCUGGGAAAUGUUUCUCAUUAUAGGAGAUUCAGUUUAGUGCUGUGAGUCAGCACAGUUCUUGGCAAUCAUCAAAUAAUAGAAAAGUCUAUGUAAACAUUUCCAGACUUACAGAUCUCUCUUAUCAUCAUACUACAUUUUUAAUUAGGCCCUUAUAUCGGCCAUGCUAAGUUUAUUGUAGAUUUAGCGGGGUGUGUAUUAAACAUGCCCCAUAUUUGACUGAAAUAUGUAGAAACUGCUGUAUAGGAGUCAUCUGUCUCCAAAUUUUUCAUUUUGCCAAAAGUCAUACUAAGUAAAUUAUUUUUUACUUUUGUGUUAACGGCUCCCCAGACAUUAUGAUAUACUGUUGUACCAGGUAACUACACACAGAAAUGGGAAUUUGAGACCUUUGGGCAUUUAGGAACAUGUGAUGUGUCAUAAGUUUGAGUUGAGUGCAUGUGAAGUGUUUAAAGCAGGUGGUCUGAAACUGUCUGCUCUAACUUCAUUGUGUGGGUUUAGCUUG